rnacentral:lncRNA from 1 species
GCAAAUUUUUUUUUCUCUGGAGAGAGCACAGAGGGAUUUCUCUCAGAUUCAGUUUUAGAAGGCCGCCGAGCUUCAGCAUGCGGUUACGUGCGUAGGCGAGCGCAAAAUGGAGGCGUUUCAUGAGACAAAUAGAAUUUCUUUCCGUGUUUCUUCGCCCUUCAGUAUCAAGGAAGAGCGGCUGUACUCCGAGAAAAAGUGGAGAAACUCUUGGAGAGAGAACUGGAUUUCUCUCUGCGCAGCUGCAAAGUGCACCCGACCCGUCAAGUCCAUCGCUGGCUGCUUCGCCUCUCUUCUCAGAAGAGACAGUGAAAAAGACACGAGAACCUCCCGUCUUUCUUCUCCGAUCUCGCAACUCAGACUCAACGAGAGGUUUGCUGGAUAGAACGCCAGAACACGCUAGAGGGAAGACUUCCAGUUGGUCACCGAAAAAUAUAUGCCUCAUAUUCCCAUACAACGCCCUUACCCCUAUACAGAUAUAUAUAUAUAUAUAUAUAUGUAUAUAUUUGAGCUUUGUAUGCAGACAUGUGCACGCACUUGCAUGUGCAUGCACUUAAAAACAUGCGUACGUCAACAUUUAUGGCUUCUUGUGCGGACGGAGAAAGGCGCAGUCGAUUGUGGAGGUGCACACUGCGUGACGCUUUCGGCUUCGAGUCCAUCCCGUCCCCGAAUCGUCGGUCCUUUUUACGACGGCGUUUGCAGCGGACAUGCAUGCGAAAGAAGCGCAGGAUUCGAAAGCGAGUGGAGUCCCAAUUGAAGAAGGGAGGAAAGCGCACGGCGUCAAGUUGUCGAGCAAUUCGUUCGCUCCCAGAGUGGCACAUGCCAGGCUCUUUCGCCUCAGGACGUUCCACUCAUCCAGAGAGAGAGACAUGCGCGCCGAGGUUCCUUCACAACAGCUCAAAAAAAGGCGUUUCCGGUCUUCCAAAGCUUCUCCCAAAGUUCAGAAAAAAGAUAGCAGUGAGGGAGAAGUAAGGGCGAAGACGAGCAACAGAGCCUGUCGCCCUCGGGCACACGAAGGCUCCAAAAACCCCCUUGGACACGACGAGAAAGGAGGCAGAGAGGAGAGAGGAGACCGCUGAGAAAGACGAGAGGCCGACACGCAGCAGAGAGGGAAACGAGAAAGGAGAGAAAACGGUGGAGACGCGAAACCAGUGGGUAGAAGAGGCGAGCGGGAAGAGAAGAUCGAGAAGAAAGCAGGAAGAUACAAGCAGAAAGCGAACUGAUGCAGAGAUAGGUCGCAAGGGCGCCAGGCAGACGGAAGACCCUAAACUCCCUGCGAGUUUUAGAUCUCCACGACAGGAGGCUUUUUGUCCGUCGGCUUGGCUGAAAACCACACAGAGAGAGGACAUCCACAGCCCUGUUUGUCCUUGUCGCUUCGCUUCCAUUCAUCGUCUGUGCCACAGACGCCCUCAGCGCAAACUGCACAUGAAGUGAGUCUAACGACGCAACCAAAUGUAAGGAGAUACACACCGGCACGCACAUCUAUAUCUCCAUACAUACGUCCAUG